GGUUGACCUCGGAUCAGGUAGGAGUUACCCGCUGAACUUAAGCAUAUCAAUAAGCGGAGGAAAAGAAACCAACCGGGAUUGCCUCAGUAACGGCGAGUGAAGCGGCAAGAGCUCAAAUUUGAAAUCUGGCCCCCUCGGGGUCCGAGUUGUAAUUUGCAGAGGAUGCUUCGGGUGCGGUCCCCAUCUAAGUGCCCUGGAACGGGCCGUCAUAGAGGGUGAGAA
rnacentral:rRNA from 1 species